AGGAAAUAGAUACCCGGGUAGUCCACGCUGUAAACGAUGGGUGCUGGACGUUGGUGGGUUUACCUGCCGGUGUCGCAGCUAAACGCGUUAAAGCACCCCGCCUGGGGAGUACGGUCGCAAGAUUAAAACUCAAAGGAAUUGACGGGGCCCGCACAAGCGGUGGAGCAUGUGGUUUAAUUCGACGCAACGCGAAGAACCUUACCAGCUCUUGACAUGGGAAGUAUGGUCUCUGGCGACGGAGAUCUUCAGUUCGGCUGGCUUCCACACAGGUGCUGCAUGGCUGUCGUCAGCUCGUGUCGUGAGAUGUUGGGUUAAGUCCCGCAACGAGCGCAACCCUCGUCUCCAGUUGCCAUCGGGUUAUGCCGGGCACUUUGGAGAAACUGCCGAUGACAAGUCGGAGGAAGGUGGGGAUGACGUCAAGUCCUCAUGGCCUUUAUGGGCUGGGCCACACACGUGCUACAAUGGCGGUGACAGAGGGCAGCGAAGGGGAGACCCGGAGCCAAUCUCAAAAAGCCGUCUCAGUUCGGAUUGCAC
rnacentral:rRNA from 1 species